UAAUAAUGUAUUAUGUAAUGUUCUUUAUUUAACAAAAAUUUUUCAAACAAGUUUUAAAUUUAAAUUUUAAAUCUCAGAAUAUUAAUACUGCUCAGACAAUAAAUAGAUAGUAUCCAGACAUGCACAGGAUAAUGCUGCAAGGACAAUACCUUUUUUUAUAAGAAAAUUUGUUAAUUUGCUUUACACAUUUAAAAACAAAUUUGCAUAGCAGGAAUGAUAAUAUAGUCUUAUUAUCUAAGACGAUCGUUAUAAUAAUGGCAUUCCCAACGGAAAGCAGCUUAAUCUGAUCCAGGAUACCGCUCAAUUAGAGGGUUGGUCCUCAACGUUAUUGGAUACUUGUACAUCCCCACUGAAGAUUCGCAAACUCACGAACAUAGCGGGAUUUCAGAGGAUACCCAUUUGGGGGAAAACCCUUAAAAGCUUGCCAGAAUCAUAAGAUCUUCAGAAUACAAAAACAGAGCUAUUAUAACAAUGUCAAGAACCACAAUUCCUUGAAGUUCGAAGGUCUAGUGAUAGUGAAUCAUCAUCGGUAUAUAGAUUUUUCUCUUGAUCAUCUAGUGAAUCGAACUUAUCAACUGUCAGCAUUUGGUCUUUACCUCUGAUCUAGUGCAUCGAACUUAAUAAAAACGGAUUUCAUAAUAAUUAUUACUAUAUUUCAUAGCUCCAGAAACAAGUUGGAGCUAACACACAUAACAUUUUAUUUAAAUCCAUAGAUUAAUUGACAUCAAAAAUAAAAAAAAUAUUUUUUUC